UUUUUUUCUUUACGACUUUAAAUUAUAUAUCAACAGAGAUGUCAUUAAUUUGAUUACUUUCUUUUAGAUUUCUACAUCAAUGAUUUCACGCAAGUGGACUACGAAACAAUCGAUAAUGCAGUGAGUAACAGCAGAAAUCCGGCCGUUUUCCACGGCGAAUUAGAAGCCAUAUCCCCCGCAGAAUCUCCGCUGCCGCCGCAUCGAAGAGAAGACGGCACUAUUUCCGUCUCCGCAUACCGGGAGAACCGCGGAGAAAAAAGUUUUAAAAUCGAAGAGGUAACCGAGAAUAUACAGACCCCGCCGCAGCGAAAAGAAGAAGAAGAAGAAGAAGACGACGACGUUAUUUUCGUCAACGCAUACCGGGAGAACUGCAGGAAAAUACCUUUUAAACCAAAAGCCGAGAUUGCGGAUAUACCUAUUCAACCCCCCUCCGCUACAGACAAUUGCGCGGAGGAGCGAGGUAAAUAAAACGUUUUUUUCAUUCUCAAAAAAAUAGGAAGGAUGAGAUUGUUUUCUUAAAUCUCUUCUGUUUUAUUUUCCCCGACAGAGACCGAUACAGAAAAUCAGACUGAAGAAAAUCAGGUUGAGGAGGAACCGUCCAGAUCGCCUCCUCUCAGGAGAGUGAGAGCUCCUCUCGGAAGACUGAGAGCUCGACGGAUGCUUCAUAAGAAGAGAAUCCUUGAAAAACUCGCUUUCAUGUACGUCGCAACAGUUCGCAC
ensembl:lncRNA